CAGCAUCUGUGCUACUGGUGUUACAUUCAGGAAGUGGUCUCCUGUACCAAUAGGCAUAUGUGAUUUUAUCAUCAUUGAGAACAUAAUACAUAUAUAAUUUGGAAGAUUGUGUUGUGCAUUUUGCUUAGACUCCUCAUAAACAUAUCAUCAAAAGUUCUCUAGAGCUAUGGUUUUCAGGAGUUCUCUACUGUUUCACGAUAUGUCUAGGUUCAUGUCAAGUUGAAAACAAAAAACCCACCUAGCACAGACUGUAAGAGCAAUGGAGUCACAGGCUCCUGGAAAGAGAAGGUUUAUUCUGGAUAGGCACUGUUACUGUAACUGCUAUUCAACUUGCAGAGAACUGGGGAGAACCAGGUGCCCUGAACACCAACCUAACAGAAAAAUGACCCCUCAGUAUUAUUAUCACCUAGUUCCUCUUAAAUAUUUCAAACACAAAUGAAAGAAGAAAAGUGACCCAAACUAAUAUAAAAUUCAACCAACAAUCUAACUCUCUGUAUACAAAUCCUGCACAAAAAUACAUGAAGCACCUAAAAAGAAAAAGACCUUUCCAAAUCUACCAACCCUUCAGUAAUGACUCCUAAUAAGAGUAACUUAGAGGAAAUAUAAAAGGAAUAAUAAGUUUGUUCAAAGAAAUGAAAGGAGAUGACAAUACAUGCCUUAGAAUUCCACAGCACAGACAGGAAAACUAAGGAGAUGAGGCAGUCAAGUAGGAUAUAAAAAUGAACUUCAACAAAGUGAGAAAUACUGAAACUAUCUGAGCUGAUGUUAGAAAUGAAAAAAUAAAGCAAGUCAGACAAAUACUCAGGAUCAUGGGAGGACAGACUAUAAAUGAAGACAACAAAAAAGAUUUAAAUGUAGGAAGUGAAGACUUGGCUGUUUGAAAAGAUAAACAAUAUCAACAAACCCUCCCUAGUGAAUUUAAAGAAAGAGAAGAAACACAUUUCAAAAUUAGAGAUGAAAAGAAGAAAUUAAAAUAGAUAGCAGUGAAAUUUGCAAAUUAUCAAGCUAUACAUCUAAAACCUGUAUUCUACUAAAUUUCAAAAUAUUAAUGAAAGAUGACUUUCUAGACACAAAGGACCUAUGAAAGUUAAAUCAAGAUGAGAAAAAUAAACAGAUAACAAGCAGCAAGAUUGAAACAGUCAUUACAGAUCUGUUAAGUGAGAAAUCCAAGCUUAGAUGGAUUUACUGCAGAAUCCUACCAGGCUUUUGAAGGAA